GGGGAAUUUCCGCAAUGGGCGAAAGCCUGACGGAGCGACGCCGCGUGAUUGAUGAAGUCUUUCGGGAUGUAAAAAUCUUUUCUGAAGGAGGAAGUUAUUGACGUUACUUCAGGAAUAAGGGGUUGCUAAACUCGUGCCAGCAGCAGCGGUAAUACGAGUGCCCCGAGCGUUAUCCGGAAUUAUUGGGUGUAAAGGGUCCGCAGGCGGUCAUAUUAGUCUUUUGUUAAAUAUCCUGGCUCAACUGGGAAAGGGCAAAAGAAACGGUAUGACUAGAGGAUGUGAGGGGUGUACAGAACUCAUGGUGUAGGGGUGAAAUCCGUUGAUAUCAUGGGGAAUACCAAAAGCGAAGGCAGUACACUGGCGCAUUCCUGACGCUCAGGGACGAAAGCGUGGGUAGCGAAUGGGAUUAGAUACCCCAGUAGUC
rnacentral:rRNA from 1 species